rnacentral:rRNA from 1 species
AUCUGCGGUGAUACCACCCUGAACGUGCCCAAUCUUGUUUGAUCUCAGAAGCUAAACAGGGCCAUGCCUUGGAUAGGAGAAAAGGGGCAUAUCUAUAAUUCAUAAUCAGAGUCACGUUCCUGAAGACU